UUUACAAAUAAAGAUGGACACAUCUAUUCCAUAGUUUGCCGGUGGAAGUCUGAUGGUAACCAAAGAAGAGAUAGAGAAAGUCUAAAUCAGAGAAACAAAACUAAAGAAAAAGUUGUGCCUCAUCCCGCGCCUUAUUCAUAAACAUAAAUAGAGUGUGGAUGGAAGACUCACCACAAAGUAAAUAGCAAAAUUGUCCUUGUUCUCCAUGUAACUCGAUCUCAGCUUAAAGCAAAUCAUGUAGAUGACCUAAAGGAUGGUGGCUAGCGCAGUCGAAUCAAGUAAUUAUGGAUAUCAUACUCCAUUACAACACUACAAUAAAGUCCUAUAGCUAAAAACACAGUUGUUAGUUCCUGUGAUUUGAGCGACAGCCUUGUAUUGAAUCAUCAUUAAGGAAAGUAGUCAGAGACUGAAAAUAUGAUAAUCAUAAGAAUAGAAGUUCAUAAAAGAGCUGACAUGACUCUGUAGAACAAUUAUAAACGGAAAAAAGUUUCUCAGGAUCACUUUGUUAAUGGAAGAACAUAUUAAGGAGCACGAUGAUUUGAACUCAAUCAUAUAGAUAAAGAUGAAAAUUAUGUAUCGCAUUCACUCUCAGCACCAAAAUUGCUAACUUUAUGUCUCUUACUUUAUAGCAAACGCAUAAUCGAAAAAAGAAAGCAAAUGCUCCUGCCUGUUGAAGGCUGCAACUACACACACGUCAAAGUCACAUCACUAUCUUAAGAGUUAGUCGGGAAAUGCAAAUGAUCAGAAUCUCCCAACUAUACAUUUUUUUUUUCUUUUUUCAUGCCCUUCCCUUUAAAGUCAUGCCUUCAAGGUCGAAUUGCCGAGUAACUUGUUAUUUAUCUCAAGACACCUUGAUUACUUGAACCUAUGAAGAAGCCUUGUCACAGUAGUGCAAAUGGG
rnacentral:lncRNA from 1 species